GUAGGUGAACCUGCGGAAGGAUCAUUAAUGGGAGGGGCUUUCGGGCCCCGGGGACUCCGGUCCCCCCUCUUCACCCCAUGUUUACCUACCUUCGUUGCCUUGACGGGCCGGGGAUUACCCAUCCCGCGCCCGUCAGAGGCCCCUUCAACUUCGUCCAUCAGUGCCGUCCGAGUAGUACCACAAUCGUGAAAACUUUCAACAACGGAUCUCUUGGUUCUG
rnacentral:misc_RNA from 1 species